CAACCUGAGCUCAGGCGUGACUACCCGCUGAACUUA
rnacentral:rRNA from 1 species